CAAGGCCAAGAGACCCUGUGGCCUAUAAGACCUAAAAUAUUUAUUCUCUGGCCCUCUGCAGAGAGUUUCUGGACCUUCGUAUUAAAGAAAUACGAAGCAACAUCUUUUCAGACAACAUUCGAUUUAUUUUAAUUAUUUCAGGUGUUUAAUCCCUGUAAAUAACAGAAGACCGGUGUCCAACUAACCUAAGUAACGUGGGGGACUGAAGACAGCCUUGUACUCUUCACAACUUUUCUUACCAAGGAGUCAUCUUCAAACCUGACAAGGUCCAGAGAAAGAGGAAAAUACGUUCUUAUAAAAGUGAAAAUGCAGGCUGAACGUGAUCUACCCUAGAAUCAAAAAUGGGACCACCUCCACCAACUCACUGAGGAAAGCAGAUACCUGAUCAUAAUUGGGAUUUCAUCAGGGAGGAAAUAGAUCCUAUGGAACCUUGGUGUAGUGGACUUCCAAAUUGGUUAUAAACAGGUAAGAUAUUUAUUAAAAAUACAGAUGCCCCAGCUCCAUGCCAAACUUAGCUUCCUCUAUUUUUAACAACC